rnacentral:rRNA from 1 species
UACGAAGGGUGCAAGCGUUACUCGGAAUUACUGGGCGUAAAGCGUGCGUAGGUGGUUCGUUAAGUCUGAUGUGAAAGCCCUGGGCUCAACCUGGGGAUGGCAUUGGAAACUGGCGACCUAGAGUGCGGUAGAGGGUAGUGGAAUUCCCGGUGUAGCAGUGAAAUGCGUAGAGAUCGGGAGGAACAUCUGUGGCGAAGGCGACUGCCUGGACCAGCACUGACACUGAGGCACGAAAGCGUGGGGAGCAAACAGG